UAUCUCUAGGGUGUAAUUUUAUAUUCCUAGUCAAACUACCCAUGCCGCUACGGUCUCCAGUAUACCUAUGAACAUGUAAUUUCCCACAAGUUUUACACUUAGCCUUGUCGUGCUCUCUUACUUGAGUAAAAAAAUGCCAAACUAAUGAUGUUUCUUGACGCUUAGCAGGUUGUCCUCUAAAAGUGGGAGUUUGUACAGGUGGGUGUGCCGGUUCAUUACCUA
rnacentral:lncRNA from 1 species